UACGUAGGGUCCGAGCGUUGUCCGGAUUCAUUGGGCGUAAAGAGCUCGUAGGCGGUUUCGUAAGUCGGAUGUGAAAACUCAGGGCUCAACCCGGAGACGCCAUCCGAUACUGCGAUGACUUGAGUCUGGUAGGGGAUCACGGAAUACCUGGUGUAGCGGUGAAAUGCGCAGAUAUCAGGUGGAACACCGGUGGCGAAGGCGGUGAUCUGGGCCAGUACUGACGCUGAGGAGCGAAAGCGUGGGGAGCGAACAGG
rnacentral:rRNA from 1 species